ACAUGUUGAACCGCAUGGUUCUACAGUGAAAGACGGUCUUGCUGUCACUUAUAGAUGGACCCGCGCCGUAUUAGCUAGUUGGUGGGGUAACGGCCUACCAAGGCGACGAUACGUAGCCGACCUGAGAGGGUGAUCGGCCACACUGGAACUGAGACACGGUCCAGACUCCUACGGGAGGCAGCAGUAGGGAAUCUUCCGCAAUGGGCGAAAGCCUGACGGAGCAACGCCGCGUGAGUGAUGAAGGUCUUCGGAUCGUAAAGCUCUGUUGUUAGGGAAGAACAAAUGUGUAAGUAACUGUGCACAUCUUGACGGUACCUAACCAGAAAGCCACGGCUAACUACGUGCCAGCAGCCGCGGUAAUACGUAGGUGGCAAGCGUUAUCCGGAAUUAUUGGGCGUAAAGCGCGCGUAGGCGGUUUUUUAAGUCUGAUGUGAAAGCCCACGGCUCAACCGUGGAGGGUCAUUGGAAACUGGAAAACUUGAGUGCAGAAGAAGAAAGUGGAAUUCCAUGUGUAGCGGUGAAAUGCGCAGAGAUAUGGAGGAACACCAGUGGCGAAAGCGGCUUUCUGGUCUGCAACUGACGCUCAUGUGCGAAAACGUGGGGGAUCAAACAGGAUUAGAUACCCUGGGUAGUCCACGCCGCUAAACGAUAAGUGCUAAAUGUUUAGGGGGUGUCUCCCCCCUUAUUGCUGCCGCCUAAC
rnacentral:rRNA from 1 species